CAGUAGCCGCGGUAAUACGUAGGUGGCAAGCGUUGUCCGGAAUUAUUGGGCGUAAAGGGCUCGCAGGCGGUUUCUUAAGUCUGAUGUGAAAGCCCCCGGCUCAACCGGGGAGGGUCAUAGGAAACUGUCGGGCUUGAGAGUGGGAGAGGUGAGUGGAAUUUCCGGUGUAGCGGUGAAAUGCGUAGAUAUCGGAAGGAACACCCGUGGCGAAAGCGGCUCACUGGACCAUUUCUGACGCUGAUGCACGAAAGCUAGGGGAGCAAACAGGAUUAGAUACCCCUGUAGUCCCUGUCUCUUAUAU
rnacentral:rRNA from 1 species